CAAUAGCGUAUAUUAAAGUUGUUGCAGUUAAAAAGCUCGUAGUUGGAUUUGUGGCGGUCCCUGUGGUCCAAUUUUGGUACUCUCGGGGACUGCCAUCCUUGGGUGGAUCCUGUGUGGCAUUAGGUUGUCGUGCAGGGGAUGCCCAUCGUUUACUGUGAAAAAAUUAGAGUGUUCAAAGCAGGCUUACGCCGUUGAAUAUAUUAGCAUGGAAUAAUGAGAUAGGACCUUGGUACUAUUUUGUUGGUUUGCGCACCGAGGUAAUGAUUAAUAGGGACAGUUGUGGGUAUUCGUAUUCCAUUGUCAGAGGUGAAAUUCUUGGAUUUCUGGAAGACGAACUAAUGCGAAAGCAUUUAUCAAGGAUGUUUUCAUUA
rnacentral:rRNA from 1 species